rnacentral:rRNA from 1 species
AGAUUGAACGCUGGCGGCAUGCCUUACACAUGCAAGUCGAACGGCAGCACGGGAGCAAUCCUGGUGGCGAGUGGCGAACGGGUGAGUAAUAUAUCGGAACGUGCCCAGUCGUGGGGGAUAACGCAGCGAAAGCUGUGCUAAUACCGCAUACGAUCUAUGGAUGAAAGCGGGGGAUCGCAAGACCUCGCGCGAUUGGAGCGGCCGAUAUCAGAUUAGCUAGUUGGCGGGGUAAAAGCCACCAAGGCGACGAUCUGUAGCUGGUCUGAGAGGACGACCAGCCACACUGGAACUGAGACACGGGUCCAGACUCCUACGGGAGGCAGCAGUGGGGAAUUUGGACAAGUGGGCGCAAGCCUG